UCGCCCAAUGAGUCAGCGCCUCGCCCGCUGUUGUGUGGGAGUGUAGUUCCACAAAACAGAAAUACUUGAGGGAAAGUUAGCCGUUGAUUAAAAUCGGCGGAACGCGCUACGGUUACGUGACGGACAUUUCAGCAAACACUUCCUGCUAGUUAUAUUCCCAUAAUGCUUUGCGUUCCAACGUAUUCGUAGCCUGAAUAACACAAAGUCCAUAAUAAAUAGGAACUUAAUGAAUGACACUGAGCUGUUCUGUAAAUCGUACCAUUCGGGGAAGAUGCCGUUUUCAGGGUGUAAGCAUAGCUAGCUAGCUAGCUAGCUAACUGCCCGCUUAGUGGUACAGAUGGGUCAAAUUGUUAACAACUAACCGCCGUUGCUCCGAUUUAGGCUCUCAGAUAGGAGAGGGCAAAGGUGACUCAUGCUGGACGCCCGAGAGCGCGCAAACGCCACAAAGGAAGGCCGCAGCCGAGAUCCGCAACCCAAAGCUCGUGCUAACCACUACGCCGCCGUGCUGCCCUUACGACAACAUUCAUAAUAAAAAUGUGGCCCCAACGUGACCUGGUGCCAAUGCGACGUCACACGAGUGCGGGGACUUUGUGCUUUAAGAAUGUGGGAAGGAGCCGGAGUACCUGGACUCACCUAACCUGGAUUCAAACCCCCAACCUUAAUAUUGGGAGGCGGAUGUGCUGCCCACUGUUUCCAAAACGCCAACGUGGAAUUGGCCCAGAUGAAGCCAAGUCGAAAGCAGGGACAGAAGAGACUGACGACGUUCAAGCGUGAAGCUUUUUUGUUGUUGCAGAUGUCCUCUCAUGUGGGCGCAGCAUAUCGACAAGUUGGUCAUAUGAUGAAAAAGCGAGUGGGAGUGUAAAAUUGAAAAAUAGUAAAAUUAUCAAUCUGAUUUCACUUCAUUGGUCUGAAAAUUAUUUACUGCAAAAAAUGUAUAUCUUUAACUGGCAAUACAAUGAAAUGCUCAUCAUCAUCAUCCUUAUUUUAGUAUAUGGUGCAAAUGUGUCUAUUCGCUUUUUUUUUUUUUUUUUUUUUUUAUAAACCUGAGACGUAUUUGCUAAAAAAAAAAAAAAAACUCACCUACUUGCCGUUUUUGUCUUCAUGCCAAAGCAAUAACAGUGUUGAUUUGGCACCGUUUGGUGGCAUCUUGGUGCCAAGGUAGUAUGCUGAAGUGAGUUGAGGAGUUUCAUUUGGACAAGUAAUGCUUUGCUGCCAUUUUGUGGCAUCACUGAGGGGGACUGCAAAUAGCAGGGGCAUCACUGUAUAUUCUUAGCUUUUUUGGGUGCUUCGCUGUCUGAAUAAAGAUUGAUCAGAUCAACACUGGCCUAAUA